ACACCAAGCAGAAAAGCAUGAUAACUGUUGCAAGCAAUCUUGUUGUUUCAAACAUUUUCUUCAGCUGCUUCACAGGUCCCAUUAAAAAGCACAUACUGGCUAAUGCUGCAAGAUUUCCAAGGGUUUAAAACACUGCAAAAAGCUUUAUGCCACCAGGAAGCCACAGCAAGCCGGUUCCAAGGAUAGAAAAGAAAAUGCCAGCCACGAAGCAUAUGACAAACCACUUCAAUCUGGUGUUGAAACUAAGAGAUGAAGC